AUUGAACGCUGGCGGCAGGCCUAACACAUGCAAGUCGAGCGGAUGAAGGGAGCUUGCUCCUGGAUUCAGCGGCGGACGGGUGAGUAAUGCCUAGGAAUCUGCCUGGUAGUGGGGGAUAACGUCCGGAAACGGGCGCUAAUACCGCAUACGUCCUGAGGGAGAAAGUGGGGGAUCUUCGGACCUCACGCUAUCAGAUGAGCCUAGGUCGGAUUAGCUAGUUGGUGGGGUAAAGGCCUACCAAGGCGACGAUCCGUAACUGGUCUGAGAGGAUGAUCAGUCAAACGGGAACUGAGACCCGGCCCAGACUCCUAGGGGGGGCAGCAGUGGGGAAUUUUGGACAAGGGGCGAAAGCCUGAUCCAGCCAGGCCGGGUGGGUGAAGAAGGUCUUCGGAUUGUAAAGCACUUUAAGUUGGGAGGAAGGGCAGUAAGUUAAUACCUUGCUUUUUUGACGUUACCAACAGAAUAAGCACCGGCUAACUUCGU
rnacentral:rRNA from 1 species